UCAGAGCCCUGGUUUGAGGGAAAUCAAGUAUGAGGAGGCAAAUACUUGAACUCAAACCUGUGUGCUCUUGUGACGAGGAACCCGUACAAUCCAAGACUCGAUCAAGAUCUAAAGGUAGAAGCAAAUGUAAGUAUGAAUUUAAGUAUGUUUAUGAAGAAACUAACAUUAUGUUGUGUGUAAGAUAAGCAUAGUUGUUUGGAUGAGGAUGAUCCACGACUGUGGUCUCGGACUGACACCAAGGCAUGUAAUAAGACCAUUGCCCAGGUCAGUGAAAGAAUGUUCAUAAGCGAAAGCUCGUCACACGGAUGAACGAGGUCAAUACGAAACAUGGUAUGGAUGGGGACGAAGAGGACCGACUCGUUGCUGCAUGUUCAAGUACUGCACCAAGGUAGUAAGGUUAGCAAAUUAUUUAAUAUAUGAAGGUACGAUGCUCGAAUCCCUCAAACCUACGCUCUCGUGAAAGUGUGUUCGUUUCUAAGCGCCACGCAAGUAAGUGAUUUAAGGAUUUCGAGCUAUGCUUUUAGAUGAAAACGGAAAUGGGUUAUGGAUAAAUUACUAUUAUAACCUGGGUUGGGACGUUAUGGGAUGUUAGGGAAGGUUUCGGGACUGCCCGAGACCAUUUCUGGUUGGAAAAAGGACCCGGGAACAAAAAAAUUUUUGGUCAAACAGCGUCUGCACACCAGAGAGCCCGUCGGCGACGGCCUUUAUGCCGUCGGCGACGGCACCCCUCCACCUGACGCGCUAACUGUCUGUCUACGGGCAAUGUUUAGCGACGGGACCUUCCCGAGCCCGUCGGUGACGCACCAUGUGCCGUCGGCGACGGGUCCCCCUUAUCUGCUUAUGCUGAAAUUGUUUGUUUAUUAGGCUAAGGUCCUUAAUUCAGUUCUAGCAUUCAUUAAACAUUAGGAACACCCCAAGUUGAUUAUGAAGCUAAGAAAUUCAAGACAACUAUCAUGUUUUAAUGAUGUAUGUGCGGGAAGUUAUGUAUGCGAAUGAAUGAAAUAAGUAACACGUCUAGAAGGUUUGUAAAGAAAGAUUGGAUGAGUUUAUGAAAAUUU